rnacentral:rRNA from 1 species
GAUGAACGCUAGCUACAGGCUUAACACAUGCAAGUCGAGGGGUAACGAGAGGAAAGCUUGCUUUCCUUGUCGACGACCGGCGCACGGGUGAGUAACGCGUAUCCAACCUGCCCCCAACUAGGGAAUAACCUUGCGAAAGUAAGACUAAUACCCUAUAAUUUCCUCAGAUGUCAUCUGACGAGGAAUAAAGAUUUAUCGGUUGUGGAUGGGGAUGCGUCUGAUUAGCUUGUUGGCGGGGUAACGGCCCACCAAGGCAACGAUCAGUAGGGGUUCUGAGGGGAAGGUCCACCACAUUGGAACUGAGACACGGUCCAAACUCCUACGGGAGGAAGCAGUGAGGAAUAUUGGUCAAUGGGCGGAAGCCUGAACCAGCCAAGUAGCGUGCAGGAUGACGGCCCUAUGGGUUGUAAACUGCUUUUAUACAGGAAUAAAGUUAGCCACGUGUGGUUAUUUGUAGGUACUGUAUGAAUAAGGACCGGCUAAUUCCGUGCCAGCAGCCGCCGUAA